AUUGAACGCUGGCGGCAUGCCUUACACAUGCAAGUCGAACGGCAGCACGGGAGCAAUCCUGGUGGCGAGUGGCGAACGGGUGAGUAAUAUAUCGGAACGUGCCCAGUCGUGGGGAUAACGUAGCGAAAGCUACGCUAAUACCGCAUACGAUCUAUGGAUGAAAGCGGGGGAUCGCAAGACCUCGCGCGAUUGGAGCGGCCGAUAUCAGAUUAGGUAGUUGGUGAGGUAAAGGCUCACCAAGCCGACGAUCUGUAGCUGGUCUGAGAGGACGACCAGCCACACUGGGACUGAGAC
rnacentral:rRNA from 1 species